CCUGCCCUUUGUACACACCGCCCGUCGCACCUACCGAUUGAAUGAUUCGGUGAAAAUUCUGGACUGUGGCUCGGACGCCUUCGGGCGACCUUGCUGUGGGAAGUUAUUUAAACCUCAUCAUUUAGAGGAAGGUGAAGUCGUAACAAGGUUUCCGUAGGUGAACCUGCGGAAGGAUCAUUACCACACCCUCAAAUA
rnacentral:rRNA from 1 species